GACGAACGCUGGCGGCGUGCCUAAUACAUGCAAGUCGAACGCAUUUUCUUUCACCGUAGCUUGCUACACCGAAAGAAAAUGAGUGGCGAGCGGGUGAGUAACACGUGGGUAACCUGCCCAUCAGCGGGGGAUAACACUUGGAAACAGGUGCUAAUACCGCAUAAUUCCAUUUACCGCAUGGUAGAUGGGUGAAAGGCGCUUUUGCGUCACUGAUGGAUGGACCCGCGGUGCAUUAGCUAGUUGGUGGGGUAACGGCCUACCAAGGCUGCGAUGCAUAGCUGACCUGAGAGGGUGAUCGGCCACACUGGGACUGAGACACGGCCCAGACUCCUACGGGAGGCAGCAGUAGGGAAUCUUCGGCAAUGGACGCAAGUCUGACCGAGCAACGCCGCGUGAGUGAAGAAGGUUUUCGGAUCGUAAAACUCUGUUGUUAGAGAAGAACAAGGAUGAGAGUGGAAAGUUCAUCCCUUGACGGUAUCUAACCAGAAAGCCACGGCUAACUACGUG
rnacentral:rRNA from 1 species